rnacentral:lncRNA from 10 species
ACCCCCACCCCAGACUCCGCGGAGAAUGGAGAGACAAUGGAGAGAUGAGAAAACCAGCUGCAGAAAGGAACUACCCUCUCUGCUGACAGCUGGACACGCGGCAGGAUGACCUGCCUAGCAGAGAGAGCUACCCUCUCUGCUGAGAGCUGAACACUCAUGGGGACACCCUGGCUUCAGAGAGGAGCUGCCCACUAUGAGAGACCUGGAGGAGACUUCAUGAUUUUAUUCAUCCCCCAAGAUUUCCUCAGGACUGGUACCAUUUUCCAUCACUGUCUUCUGCCGUCAGCAACAUGUGAGCUUUCUCCACAGCCAACAUAUUAAGAACAUUCAAAAUCAGACGGAGAUGAUCUUAGUCCCAAGAUGCUACAAACAAAAAAGAGAAAGAAGAGAUUCCCUGCUGAAACUCCAAACAAAUGUAUCAAAGCUUACCCUUCCCUUUUCCUUUAAACUAACUUCUAUUGUCUAUUCUAAAAUGAGGGUUGUUUUAGUGAUUGUGAACUAGAAUGUGGUUACGAUAGCAGUCUUAAUUUAGAUAUGUGCUGGUCCUGUGAAAUUAAAAGCUUGAUUUACUUUGGAGUCAUAGAUUAACCUGUGGCUACUAAUUUGCAGCACAAGAUCAAUAAUAACUAACAUUCUAUAAACCGAACUAUUGUUAAGUCAUUACCACUUUAUGAAAUUGACUGUAGGAAGACCGGAAAGUUGUGUGGGUUAGAAGGGCCGUUUUCAGCAGCCGUUUUCAGUUCUUUAUACUGUCUUACAAAAAUCACUCCAUUAGUGACUAUGGAGGCAUUAUUAAUAAUUAUAAAUAAUUAAUGAUACUUUAAAACUUUAUUUACUAUUUGAA